UACAGAGGUCCCAAGCGUUGUUCGGAUUCACUGGGCGUAAAGGGUGCGUAGGUGGUGAGGUAAGUCGGAUGUGAAAUCUCCGAGCUCAACUCGGAAACUGCAUUGGAAACUACCUUGCUCGAGGGUUGGAGGGGGGACUGGAAUGCUUGGUGUAGCAGUGAAGUGCGUAGAUAUCAAGCGGAACACCAGUGGCGAAGGCGAGUCCCUGGACAACUCCUGACACUGAUGCACGAAAGCUAGGGGAGCAAACAGG
rnacentral:rRNA from 1 species